UCCCUGGUAGCUCAGCUGGUAAUGAACCUGCCUGCAAUGCAGGAGACCCUGGUUCGAUUCCUGGGUUGGGAA
rnacentral:tRNA from 1 species